UCUCCGUAGGUGAACCUGCGGAGGGAUCAUUACUGAGUGAGGGUCUCCGGGCCCGACCUCCAACCCUUUGUGAACCAAACUUGUUGCUUCGGGGGCGACCCUGCCGCUUCGGCGGUGCGGCGCCCGGAGCCCAUCAAACCCUGCGUAACUAAGUCGUCGGAGUUUAAACAAAUGCAACAAAACUUUCAACAACGGAUCUCUUGGUUCUGGCAUCGAUGAAGAACGCAGC
rnacentral:misc_RNA from 1 species